CUCCCAUUAUAUAAUAAUAGUCAUACAAAAAAAAAGUGGCGUCUUUUCUCUGCGCUCCAUUGCGUCCGGUUCCAAUCUGUUUCCGAUUGAAUGCCGGUGUCAAUUCAACUACCUCCUAGCAAAACGCUGUCCGACAAUUUGAGCGACUUCAAAAGUAUUCAUUCACUUCGCAUCGAUUGAGACCAACGGCUACGAUUCACUGAUGUCGCUUGCUGGUGCUAUAUUGAUUUUGUGAUCGGAUGAACUAGUAGUCGACGGCAGAAGCCGUGGUACACACGUCAUUGCUCGACAGCAAUGACAGAGCGAACCCUGAAUAAAUGGGAUCAGAUUCAAGUGCGAAGUUGAACCUGAUCGAUUCCGAUUAUCACUGAGCGAAGCGGCAGCGCCGUCUGAUGACUGUGCGUCAUCUCAGGCGGAACGAUACUUCGCGUCGAUGGGCGCUGAUGGACAACGUGAGAACGCUAACGAAGAAAAUCUACGAAAAGUGGAAACAGCUACUGCUCCCGAACUUCUUACGGUAUCAAGCGGUGCCUCCUGAAUGAGUCUGAGUUGCGCUGAACGACAGUGUUCUGCUACUAUCGAAAAGAUCCCUAUUGGAGUGUCACUGCGUGCUUUCGCAUGCGCAGAUAGAACGGUUUUUCAAAGGCACGCCGAGCACCAAUGAGAGUGCGCCUUUGUCGUAACUUCACAUCGGCUUUGUCGUCUCCAUCUUCGGAGCGUCCAACAGUGCCACCCUGUCGAGAGCUGCAAUUUCCCCCUCCGUCCUUUCCACCCCACCGACCCUACCAGCUGUCUUGGAAGCUUCGAUACUACGCGAGUUAUCCCACAGUCUCCUUACCCAGGCUUUUUGCCGGAGAGCCAUUACAUACCUUCGUAACAAACGGGGAUUGCUCCAAUUCCCCGCUUUAGCCCUCGGCUCCGGGGGUGGCGCGUAGACCCCAGAGCCCCGCGCGAAGCUCCGCCCCUUGCUAGUGCACUGCGCUCUUCGUCUUCCAUCUUGGAUAAUUUGCUAGGGUUGUCCGGGCUCCGGCCGGGCUUUGCCUUCGCGCGACUUGUCUUCGUCCGCUUGGAGGCAACCCCAAGUUGCAAGAGCUGAGAGCUAACAUGAAGAGAAGAGCUAGCAGGAAGGAGUAGCAAAAUUCAGGCUGGUCCUGAGCGACGUCUUGUCCUUCUCCAAUCCAAACAGUGGCUCCGAGCUUGUCAAGUCGCUUAAGUCAUCGCAGUCUCGUUGGAACCGUGGCGUUAGACAAGAGGACGAGACUCGUUUAGCUUUUUUAAACUGAAGAGUAAGCUACGUUUUUGCGACUCCACUCACUCAUUAGCUGUGUCUUCGCGUUUGAUUGUGCCUAUAUGAAUACUGCACUAUUAGGCUAAGUCUGUUGGAAGGAAAAAGGUUUCUUGUUACUGAAACCCUGCACAAGAGUCUUUCAAUACGUGAUUGUGACGUGUGUGGAGCGCAUAUAUCGGCAUCGGCGCUCGUAUCACUCUGGAAAUUUGUCACCGAUUCCAUAAGAUCGACAGCUUCCCAUUAGACGGGAAUAUCAGAUAAUAUAGUGCAGCCAAAUUGAACUGGAUAAUAGACAGAAAAAAAGCCAGCGCGAGACUCAGCCUGCUAGAGACUAACGUGCAAAUACGUAUUCAUUGAAAUACACGCGUCGCAACGAAGGCUUUGGUGCCUUCGCCUAUUGACUGGAAGUGCCGUGAGUGUUUUCAGCGUCGCCACGGUGGGCUGGAGCGGCGCAGGAGCCGGCGGAGGGCUGGCAGGUGCUCCUCGCAGGAUGCUCCCAUUCGAAACUCCUUCUGUGUUCGACCAGCUGCCGCGCUACCUGCUCAAGAUCCCGCGGGUUGUUAAAGACCAAAAGCACAAGUUUGACACGGAUGACCUGUUUCGGAAGCUUAGUCGGGAAGGUGAGGUCCGUUAUACUGGCUUCCGAGAUCGACCUCGAGAGGAACGACAAAUUCGAUUUCAAAAUGGCGUCCGUGAGGGUCAUACCGACUUAGCGUUCGUUGCCAGCGGAACUAACCUCCAACUCGUGUUCAGUCCCUGCCCACCGGUACUCGGAUAUUCGCAAGACUAUUGUGACUUUACGAAGGAACGCGGCAAGGUGCAUCUUCGAAGUGCAUUUAUCAUGAACGGAGUAUGUGUACGAUGGAGAGGCUGGGUCGAUUUGGAGCGACUUGACGGAGCCGGAUGCCUCGAGUUCGAUGAGGACCGAGCGCGGAUUGAAGACGCAAUAUUACGUGAGCAAAUCGAGGUGUACAACCAACGGGUCAGACAGCUCGAGGAGAUUCAUAAGGUCCAUGCUGCGAACACAACAUCAGCUACCGUUAAACGCGAAGAGGAAGUACGACGUCGCGAGUUCGAAAAGGAACAACGGGACAACAACAACGAUGAGAUGAUCCUACCCUAACAAGGCGAAGUCAUUGCUUGCCUUAUAAGUCCCUCUGUCACCCUGGCCCGUAUUCUCAAAAUGCAUACAUUCGAUCAGGCGCUUUGACGCGCACUCGACGAUGCCAUUACACCGCCUCUCAAAGCGAAAGCUGGGAAUAUCAAUUCAAUUAGUGUUGAGCGUAUGCUUGCAUGUCGGUGCAACACGAGGCACUCCGCAGUCGUCGCUCCGCCUGCUAUAAGAGCUCCUCGGGCCGUUUUGUGAGUGGCCAACUCUCGAACCCUCCGCGGAGAGCGUUAGCUGGCCGUUUUAUCUUUGAGCGGCGAUCCGGAGCUGAGAGUCGGCCUUCAGAACGGGGUAGUUGAUGGCGAUGGCGAUUAUGGUGAUGAUGAUGAUCAUGAUAUGACUCAGGAGAUAGACCUACCAAAAAAACGAGCGUCCUAAAGAGAAUAUAGAGUUCGGAAAACUAUGACAUGUGGAGUGGGCUCAGGAGAAAGCCUAACACCGCGAUAGCGGCGCAGUGGACGUGCCCAGCAGAUGAUCCUGGUGGGUAAUGGGGUGGGGAUCAGCACAGACGAGUCAAAUCAGAGAAAAACGGAAUACAAAGUAAACGGUUGUCACCGUUUACCUUGUAUAGAUGUUUUAUACCCACUUUUCAAUCAGGCGAAUCUACAGCAUCUAAAUGCAGUGGCGGCAAUGGAUCAAAGUUGCCAGUGUAAUGUCAGCACAUAAUUGACACAUGGUGAAAGAAGACUUGCUUCAUUUUCGCUUCCAUGUUUUGUUUUAGCAUGGUUGUACACUAUAAGAAAAUUAAAUGCCAUUAUUAAAAGCCCUUAUCGAAAGGCUUAAUACUCGGUAAAAUUUCCACGAGCUAGAUUAUCAUCUAGCUAACGGUGGACCAAAAGGGGGCUCAUUAGGUUCAGACAAUAAAAGUACAAAA